GACGAACGCUGGCGGCGUGCCUAAUACAUGCAAGUAGGACGCAGUUGCGAACGGGUGAGUAACGCGUAGGUAACUACCUAUUAGAGGGGGAUAACUAUUGGUAACGAUAGCUAAUACCGCAUACUAGUAGAUGGACCUGCGUUGAAUUAGCUAGUAGGUAGGGUAAUGGCCUACCUAGGCAACGAUACAUAGCCGGGCUUGGAGGGUGGACCGCCAAACUGGGACUUGGACACGGGCCAGACUCCUACAGGAAGCAGGAGUAGGGAAUCUUCGGCAAUGGGGGGAAACCUGACCGAGCAACGGCGCGGGAGGGAAGAAGGUUCUCGGAUCGGAAAGCUCUGUUGUGAAGGAAGCGGUACUUAACCAGAAAGGGACGGCUAACUACGUGCCAGCAGCCGCGGUAAUAC
rnacentral:rRNA from 1 species